GCGCAGGAUAAGUUACAAUGCAGCUGUCGUGUGCUGUAUUGUCGUUCCCCCUGCGCACAUGAACUCGUUUCCUACUAUCCCUGUCUGUCUCGCUCCCACGACUGACAGGGACGCUUGGUCUCGAACAC